UUUAAAAGUAUCAAGGGAGGUGGCAAAUGCACCGGGGCUUGCCUUCGUUAACAGGUGAAUCAGGCUCAGGUCCACAAAUGUCGAAGUAGAAACUAUUCCCGGCCUGAGUGUCCAAAGGUGGUUGUGGUGUCUCCUCUUCAGUUACUUCUACCUCUUCUUCUCGUUCUAAUCAUAACCAUACAUAUGUAUAAGAAUGGAUGCCAUGGGAUGCUCAUGAGGAUGCAAAGACAACAUAAACUUAUUAUUUAUGUCUUGAAUACAACUUUCCUUCACGGAGUUCCGGGAACUUAGGGUUUCCGGAGUCGGUAAAGGAGUUCAUAGGGCAGGGGGGGUGUUUUAGGGUUUGGUGAUCAAACAAGGUCCAAAUCAAUUCAAACUUUACCCAAGGCUUCUAAAUAUUGUAUAACACUCAUAUAAAAAUUUUGGGCAUUUUAGGACUUACCAAUUAUUUUCUAAAAAUCUAUAACCAAUACUUUUAACUACUUUAAAUACCUUAAAAUUUCUUACUUUCACUAAAAAUCAUAAACUUAUUUUUAUUAAAUACUAUGGAAAAUAACAAUUCUAGGAAAAUUAGUUUCACCAUUUUAGCAUUUUUCUACAUUUUUCUACAUAUUUUUGAAUCUCUGCUGAAAAAGAAAAAGGAAAAGAAUUAAUAGAACCGGGCCGGAUUCAGCCCAUCGGCCCAGGUCCAGAGAAGAAAGCGCCCGCGCGCGCGCCCUGGCAGCUUUGCAGAAAGGACCACGCGGUUUUAUCUAUCUGCAGACAGGUUUGAUCACUAUUCUACUGUGUCGCUGACAACUUGCAGAUAAGCCCUCCAUGAUCUAUUUCUUCGCAGACCCAGGUCCACGGCGACGGUGGCGCACGGAGGAACUCCGGUGAGCCACUGCACCGGCCGAUUGAGGUGAUGACCGGCGCACCCGAGCGGCGGACACCAAAUCCAAGCUACCCCGAGUAAUUCCCCCAAGUUAAUUGCACAAUUGGUGCCCUAUUCUAGCCUGCCCACGAGAACCGCGAAGACCAUGAUCGUUUGAUCAUGUUCCCGACGAGUGGGGUCUCUUAGUUCAAAUUGGAGGCUCGGUAAGCAUCACAGGGUGACAAGAGUGCUCAAACAAGGGAGGGUGAGGGAUGAACGGACCUAGAAAGGGCUGGCCGCGGCGAGCAGUUUCUUGCGGUGGCAGAAACUUGAUUUGGGGAGAACUCCAAAUUCGCGGAUUCCGGUGAAUGAUUGUGGCUGAUUCGUGGUGGCUGGACAGCUUACUAGCCUACGGAGUUCGGGGAGGGGUCAAUUUAUAGCGAGGGUAAGCGGCGGUGGCGAAUUUGACCGAGCAGUGCUGGCGGUCGGAGCUGGAGAAGAAGCUUGGCGCGCGGAGUACGUGUCUCAUAGCGUGGCAGUAAUUCCGGUGAGCCACGGGGAGUCCAAAGGAGGUCACGGCGACACGGUGAAAGGGUUGAGCCACGCGGCGCGAUGCCGGGAAGCGGCGGUCACCGGCGAGGUAAUCCACUCGACCGCAAGGAAGAAGAGAGAGCCACGGAGGUCACCGGAGUGAUCGCCAGCGCACGGGCGGGGAAUAUCUUUUAACGCCACGAAGUUAUCCACAUCCCCGAGCACGAAUCGUGACGCCGGCGACGUGAAUCACGGCGGAAAGCCACCGGCGGUGAAGACAGCCGUGCGGCGACCUUAUCUAAUUCAGUUACUGUACCAUGGGAAACACUGAUUCAGAGCGACUGACAGAGCAACUUUAGAGCAACUUUUCUCUCAAAUCUUCAUGGUAACAGGUCCAACUCUCUGCAGCAAUAUUGUAGUGCUACAUACCAGCUACAACUCGACUAUAAGGUUUAAACUUAUUUGAGCACUGGAUCUUAGCCUAGAUGUCCCUUAAUGUUGGAUCAAGGUCACUGUCCAACUGAAGUUCAGUCUCUACCAGCCUGACAGUCCAACUUCAGGAGUGAUUAUCUUUAGUUUUCCCUUAACAACAAUGCUCACACCUUUAAGCAAAGUUGUUCUCCUAUAGUUGAGCUUCAAUUUUGAUGUGGUGACCUAGGGCAAAAACCCUAUGCUUUGCAAGCUACAAAGCCCUAAAGUGGAGCCUUUAACACUGUAUUUCAGACUUAGUGUAGAACUCAAAUGAGGUCCAUUUUGCACUUAAGUCCAAAUCUCAGGGUUUGGCUUGUAAAUUCACAUAUUUGUGAACCAAAUGACUUUAUAUGUCCAAACAUAGUAAUUUUUACACUUUAGUCCAAAGGUUCAUCACUUUUGCACAUAAGCCCCUAGGGUUUAGACUUAGGGUUUCCCAGGGUUUCAAUUAGGGUUUCUGGUAUCCCAGGGGUAUAAAAGUGAUUCAAGUUUAUUCUUAAGGUCAUUUCAUGACUUUUACCCUAAAGCUUUAGGUUUUCUUAACUUGGGUUAAGUUUUACCCCCUUUAACCAUUAUUAGGGUUAAGUCCUUUAACCAGGGUUCUUUUUGCAAAACACUUUAAACAAUACAACUUGUUUGAAAUUUUUGCCUAGUGAAUGCACUCUAGGUGUGUCAACCAUAUGCAAUGCCAAUGCUCAUGAUGUCAUGCUCAAAUUUUUGUUAUAGUAACACCAGGGGUGUUACAAAACCAAAGGCAUCAAACUUAAGAAAAUGAUCGGACAUGUCUUUUCUAGGUUAGGUUGAUAAAGUAACAUGGCGAUCCUUAAAAACAGGCAAACUAGAUAAGGUACAUCAGCUUGCACCAACCAAACAAGGACAUGGUUUUGGAAGGAAACAUGACUCGAGAUUCUUGUUUAAGCCUAGGCACAAUUUAUGUCCAACCAAGAAAUUAUCUAAGCACUUAUUUGUAUGUGUUUGGUCAUGGAGUGCUAACGGAAAAAUCAACUUUGGUCAUGGUUCACCUACUAAGAACAUGGCCUAGAUUUGGGUUUAGGCAAACAAGUCACUAACCUUCUAUCGACACAUUAAGCACAAGAGCACACAUAUAGCAUCUAAACAUAAUACCUAAGGAACGAAGAACAGCUAUUUUAUCGAAGUUCAUAAUUCAACAUUACACUAGAUCAUCUACAAUCACUGGUUUCUGGAAUAAGGAUGAGAGAAGCAUUUUGGAUGUAUAGGUAACAAACAUGAUGCAACAAUCAGGAUGCAUGCUCGUCCUAUACGUCCUCACGAAUUUUGCCAACAUACUGUGGCAAUAGCGUUCUAUAUCGGUGGCAUACUUACGACUCUCACGAUAUUUUGCUAGUCGUCAACUACACAUACGUUUUCGAGGUUAGUGUACCUGCAGAAAAUUCCAUCACAGCCCAUUUUUCCCAUGAUGCAAUUUCCACACAUGACAGUUUAUCACAGUUUAUACUCCAUAUAUUGCUAUAUGGAGGCCAGCUCUUCAUUAAGCGUCGAGCCACGCACAGGCGCCGUUGCCACACUUUAACCAUAGGGCAACUCAUUAUGGUAACUCACCUUCUUACCUGAGCGUAGGUGCGUCGUUACAAGUACAUUACACUUCUCAGUAUUCCCAUGUCUGUAUGCCCAUACACAUCCAUGGGGUACUGAAUUCCCAGAAAAGUAAUUACUCCACAUCGCAGCUUUCAUAUAUACAAAUAUAGAACAUGUAUAUAAUCAAGCGCCACAAUUAAGCAUUCCCCUAGACCGACGGUUGUUCGGUCAUGCUCUCACAACUCACCUUACCUUGGGCGUCGAUCCAUUCCAAACGGAAUGGUUUUCAAAAAUAACAAUACACAUGUAUGCAAUACCCACCCGGUUGUGGGUUAGUGGUUUUCAACUAAGCCACCUAAUAGUCCUUAGUUUAGGGCUUAACAGAGGAUGUCGCUAGCAUUAUAGUUUUUCAAAACUAUUUUUCAAAGCCAAACAAUAUGUUUAGUUAAAAAUAGGUUUUUCGAAACCAAAACUUUUGUUUUGAAAAUAUGUAUGUGACUGUAUAUACUUAAUCCAGCUCCGAUACCAGCUGUGGCAGAACCUCCCAAGUUAUUGGGCCCACAUGCACCUGUCCUUGUCUCAAAUACCUCAGACGACUAUGCAUGUGCACCAAAUAACUUAACAGGAUCCGUCCGAUUGCCCCAAGGACAUCGGAUAAACCACUUACAACCAGAACCGCGGGAUUAAGUAACACAAAUCACACAUACAACAUUUUUGCAGCGGAAAUCUUAUUACCAAAUUUUACAGGUUACAAAAAUUUUGCAUUAUUUUAUCGGAGUGAUUACAAAAGUAUAAGUUUGAAAUAUAUGCUAGCUCAAGUGAUCAUCCUCAAUAAGAAGAUAAAGACGGGGUAUACUUAUAUAAGAAGGCCGAGCCCACCGGCACUUAACACCAUCACAACAGCACAAGGUUAGAACCUGAAAAACAACAGGGAAUAAAACCCUGAGUAUGGAAUUACUCAGGAAGUCUUACCCGACUAAGGAAAAGACUCUCAAGGGUAUGCUGGAUAAAUAGGAAUCAAGGAGAGGCUUUAGCAAGAAUCAAUUUAGAUACUUUUGCUGAAAUAGGUUACUAAAGUGAGUCCUUACUUUCAAUCUUUUAACGCCAUAUUAAGUAUUAAUAGACUCUAUUUGCAUCUAGUCUAAUUUCAACAUCUCAUCAAUACAACAUCAUUUUUAUCCAUAGUGUUCACAUCCUGACUUUAGGUUGUAGAAAAGUGACCAAGUCUUCAUAACCGCGAAGGUACGGCGAUCCGAAUCGAUUAUACUCAGCUGAGGAUCUCCAAUCACACGACAUAUGUAGCACUUAACCCUUGCAUAUGUCAACCCGCCACCGGGGUUCUUAAGACCAGAUCAGGUUCACGCAAACCGAGAGCACAGAUACACCACCGUCCAGCCUCUUGCCACGGAGGGUACACGCUACUCUUGCCACCGCUCCACGCCCAUUUCGUGUUAUCUUAUUCUGGCCUUAGUCUGCCCGAGGCAAGGCUUACCCAUGACGAGGCAUGUGACCAGUUAAAGGGUCCUCGGUCAGCACGCCUACAUACGCAUUAAUCCUUAACCAACCUGGGUAGAACAUCACCUGUUCCUAACCCAAGUCUCAAUUUAAGUAUUUCCAUCCUUAGGAUUGUGUCUGUUCCUUAGGAUGAAAGAGCAUCACAGGGAACUUUGCAGUAAGAUCCCACUAUUGCUCCAAAUGAAAAUAUUCUUGCAGGUAGAAGCCAUCCUCUCCCGGGUUAGACUGAUGACAACCUCUAUCCACAAGAUCUAAGCAAGGCUAAGCAUUUUUGUAAAUCAUAUUUUGAUACUUCACAGAAGUAUCUAUAAAGGCAUGGAUAUCAAGGAAAGCAAUGCAUCAAAGGGUUCCAAGCAACUCCUAUGAACCUAAUGCACAUUUCACUAGACUUAAGUGUGCGAAAAGUAUUUAAAACACAAGGAAAGGGGUUGCAUGCACCGGGGCUUGCCUGAGUAACACUAGGUUAGUGUUGGUUAGGUGACGUCCGCUUGAUGAGUAUUCUUCGACCGAGCACUUGCUUGAUUUAACCAUCUUCAGGUUGAUUCAUCAGCUUCAGCUUGCAGAUUAGCCCACGCUUGGGGUCGACUUGGUUUUUCUUCCGCAUCACGUGAUUAUUUAUCGUCCUGAAUGAAAUGCAUUAUGCAUAUGAAUGCAUAUAAAGAACAAUAACACUAGAUAUUACGAUGCUACGCAAAAGAGAAAUAACCUAUUUAAUGAUGAAACAUUACGUACACUAGUUAUCGAUAUAUUGUUACUUACGACAAUCAUGUUCUUACAACCUAGCUAAACAGUCGAGGUAGCAAUCAACAUCCAUUCCAAGCAUGAGAUCGACCAACACAUAAAUUAUCAGACCUAGUCUAGAGAACACACUAAAUGACUUAUAACUUUUAACUUCACAAUUUUUGGACAUCUAAUACUUAUAAAAUUUGAUAGAAGAAUUUUUAUUAACUUUCUAAACUAAUUCACCGGUUAACCCGUAUAUUAUAUAUAUCUACCAAUAUACUUAUCGCAUAACCCUAAAAUUCAACUUAAUCUCUACAGCGAGUAAUAAACAAGAGAAUCAUCGCAAUCAAUCCUUCUAUUUAAUCCUACCAUUUAUUUAGUUGACGGGAAUAAUAAAUUAACUUACCAUAAUUAACUCGAGCUGAAGUUGUGAGGUCAACGACGAUCCUAUGGACGAGGACUCGGAUUUGAAGGGCGAUGCGGCAAAAUUAUUGGAACGGCGGAGUCGAUGACGCGAUGAGAAUUAAG
rnacentral:lncRNA from 1 species